GACGAACGCUGGCGGCGUGCUUAACACAUGCAAGUCGAACGGAAAGGCCCUGCUUUUGUGGGGUGCUCGAGUGGCGAACGGGUGAGUAACACGUGAGUAACCUGCCCUUGACUUUGGGAUAACUUCAGGAAACUGGGGCUAAUAACGGAUAGGAGCUCCUGCUGCAUGGUGGGGGUUGGAAAGUUUCGGCGGUUGGGGAUGGACUCGCGGCUUAUCAGCCUGUUGGUGGGGUAGUGGCUUACCAAGGCUUUGACGGGUAGCCGGCCUGAGAGGGUGACCGGCCACAUUGGGACUGAGAUGCGGCCCAGACUCCUACUGGAGGCAGCAGUGGGGAAUAUUGCACAAUGGGCGGAAGCCUGAUGCAGCAACGCCGCGUGCGGGAUGACGGCCUUCGGGUUGUAAACCGCUUUCGCCUGUGACGAAGCGUGAGUGACGGUAAUGUGUAAAGAAGCACCGGCUAACUACGUG
rnacentral:rRNA from 1 species